rfam:Anopheles gambiae M scf_1925489841 genomic scaffold, whole genome shotgun sequence.
AUAGCAGGAGUUUUUAGUCGCGCUUUUUGGAGAUGGCAGCACAAGUAUAUGCAGCCGAAGCGAACGGGAAUUGCUCCGUUUUUUCAAGUCAUCGUCGGAGGAAUGGUGUUCUUCUAUACCAUUAACUAUGGAAAACUGAAGCAUCACCGUAACUACAA